rnacentral:lncRNA from 1 species
GUGGAGUGUAUAUGGAGGUUGUGAGUAGGUCAACAUGGAAUCGAUCACUCCUAGUAAAAGGAGAUUGUAUCUUGUGUAUUCUCAAUCCUAGAUGACUUAAGAAAAGUCUUUUGGCUAAAAGUAGAAAGGAGAUUAGAAAGAGUUUUUAAUACUUCUUUAUUGGAGUCAUCAUUGGUUAAUGGAGAAUCAAUAUGAAUAUGUGUUUGAGUU